CAGUAGCCGCGGGAAAACGUAGGGUGCGAGCGUUAAUCGGAAUUACUGGGCGUAAAGCGUGCGCAGGCGGUUUUGUAAGACAGGCGUGAAAUCCCCGGGCUCAACCUGGGAAUGGCGCUUGUGACUGCAAAGCUAGAGUGCGGCAGAGGGGGAUGGAAUUCCGCGUGUAGCAGUGAAAUGCGUAGAUAUGCGGAGGAACACCGAUGGCGAAGGCAAUCCCCUGGGCCUGCACUGACGCUCAUGCACGAAAGCGUGGGGAGCAAACAGGAUUAGAUACCCCAGUAGUCCCUGUCUCUUAUAA
rnacentral:rRNA from 1 species